rnacentral:rRNA from 1 species
AUUGAACGCUGGCGGCAUGCCUUACACAUGCAAGUCGAACGGUAACAGGUCUUCGGAUGCUGACGAGUGGCGAACGGGUGAGUAAUACAUCGGAACGUGCCCGAUCGUGGGGGAUAACGAAGCGAAAGCUUUGCUAAUACCGCAUACGAUCUACGGAUGAAAGCGGGGGAUCUUCGGACCUCGCGCGGCCGGAGCGGCCGAUGGCAGAUUAGGUAGUUGGUGGGAUAAAAGCUUACCAAGCCGACGAUCUGUAGCUGGUCUGAGAGGAUGAUCAGCCACACUGGGACUGAGACACGGCCCAGACUCCUACGGGAGGCAGCAGUGGGGAAUUUUGGACAAUGGGCGCAAGCCUGAUCCAGCCAUGCCACGUGCAGGAUGAAGGCCUUCGGGUUGUAAACUGCUUUUGUACGGAACGAAAAGGUGCCUUCUAAUAAAGGGCGCUCAUGACGGUACCGUAAGAAUAAGCACCGGCUAACUACGUG